UACGGAGGGUGCGAGCGUUGUCCGGAAUCACUGGGCGUAAAGGGCGCGUAGGCGGCCUGAUAAGUAGGGGGUGAAAUCCUGCGGCUUAACCGCAGGGCUGCCUUCUAAACUGUCAGGCUAGAGCACGGUAGAGGCAGAUGGAAUUCCCGGUGUAGCGGUGGAAUGCGUAGAGAUCGGGAAGAACAUCAGUGGCGAAGGCGGUUCUCUGGGCCUUACCUGACGCUGAGGAGCGAAAGCAUGGGGAGCGAACAGG
rnacentral:rRNA from 1 species